CCUGACGUUAAUUUGGAGGCUCCAACUGCUAACGUCCGUUCGUUAAUUAUAAAAAAAAAAAAAAAAAACUGCGAAAAAAAUUGCGCGAAGUGGCUAAUGUUUCCCUCCUCGGGCUUUUUUGCCGGUAUAAACUGCCCCUUCUCACAACAUGGGCGUUGUGAGCGGCCUCACUGUUUAUACAAACAUCCUGCAAAGCAGGCGCGGGACUGGUUUGCUGUCUCAUUUGAAUCAUCCAAAGUGGACUUCACAGAAGGACAGAGGCCUUAUACGGGCUGUGGAGAUGACUGCCUUCAUGAGCUGGAGCGGAUCAACAAGGAGAUUGAAUCUGUAAGGCAUGAGGUGGAGCAAGAGCGGAGGCGACUGUCACGCUACCAGACUGUACAGGCAGACCGCAUAAACAACACGCCUGCUUCCAAGCGUGAGUCUGGGAGUAAAACUGUAGACAGAAAAGCUUAUGGGCCAUCGUCUCGCACAGAUUUUACUAAAGCACACCAGCGAGGAAAGAAGUAUGUGGUUGACAACUCAAAACCGAGGACUGAUUUGGAGUAUGACCCACUAUCCAACUUCUCUGCAGACUUGCUCUCUCUCAGCUCAUUGACAAAGGAGCAGAAGUUGAAAAGUAGACAAGUAAAAGACAAAAGUCCAGAAAGCACUGCCCCAUGUAUUGAUAAAGAACCAUUUGCGUAUCAGGCACCGCUUUCCCGAUCACCAUCUCCGGAGCCACUUGAUGUCUCUUCUGAAGGUGAAGACCUAAUUAUUGAUGUUCCUCCUUCUCCUGAGAAAACGGGUCAGAGAACUGCUAAGUCUGUAGCAGGUAAAUCCUCUCAGGUGACAGCAGUGGAGGUAAAGGGGGGGAAAAAAGAGCCUAAUUUACCUAAUUCUCCAUCACCACACAAUAAAAUCACUCUGUCUUCAUCAGAUUCAAAUAAAAUUCAUCAUUAUUCUGUUGAAAACAGUCAAGACUUACUGACUAUAAGUCCUGCCAAAGAGUCUGAAGAUCUAAAAAAUGGUGCCAAUGUAGUGGACUUAACAGAUAGUCCAGACGACCUUGCAAAUGAAUGUCAAAAAAUUACUAAAGCAGUAUUGGAGAAGAUCCCCAAACAACAAGAUCACAACCUGAACAAUCCUCAGUGUGAGCUGCCCAGUAUCUUUGAGAAAAUGAAUCCGCAGAAGACGCCCAUGAAUUUACUUUUUUGUAAAUCUCCAGCUGCUAACUCAUCACGCAGGCAAGUGCCUCAGGACAGAGUUCAAAGUCACAGGUGUUCUGAGAAAAGUACACCCUCAGCGGUGAUGGGAAACCAGAAAAAGUCAAGCAAAAUGUCAGGACAGACACAGGGAAUAGCUGCUGACGGUGAUAAGUUGCCUCUAGAGCAAGCAGAACAAGGGUCAGAGAACAGUGAGUUUGAGGGUCGGCAUGUUUUGUCAACCUAUGUCAGCUCACAAUUCGGAGCCGAACCGUGUUCUGAGCAGAAUUUGGUGAUGGUAAAUGAUGAAGAGGUCAUACUAAUCAACUCCAGCUCUGAUGAGGAGGAGGAAGGGCCCAACCAUUCAGCAGUGGAGCUCUCAGACAGCGACCCAAUGGAGGAAUGCUACAGGAUCUUCAUGGAGGCAAACAAUGAGGGAAAAGGAACUGAAGAGACUCCUAGUGCAUGUUUAGGGGCUGUGGAUGCAGAGAAGAUGGAGGUAAAUGUCACAUCCAAGGGAUUACCAGGAAGGAAAAGAGUGGCUCAUGAAGCCAAACAAACAGAGCAGCCAGUAGCUAAGAGCAGGCCUCAGCCGCAGGUUUUGGUUCCACUCUGUGAGCCAGUAACUUCAGGAUUUGGCUCUAGAUCCUCUGUCAGUUCCAAAACCCAGCAGGUUCAGCAGAGAGCUUCCACUCUGACUGCCUCAGUUAAAGGUGGGCAGGCUUUUGUUUCCUCCACCUCUCAGAAGAAACCAGAGACCCAGUUUUCACCUUCUGUUUUAACUCAAAACCCUGAAACCCUGCAGCCCGCUCCUGUGCGCAAUGCUUUUGUGAACUAUAUACCUUUGGGACCAGCUGUUAUUGAAGUGGGCAACAACUUGCAUUUGAUCCUUCCAGACGGUGCCUUCCCUGUGCCCAUUUCUUCCAAUUCCAAUCCAGUUACUCCAGUUUUAACUCCAAUAAAUCAGGUUCACACAAGGGCCCUUGCUAUCAAACAAACAUACCAUCCACAUGCAGUUACUCCUAUGCAUCCUAUGCAGCGAUGCCGCCUGACAGCACCAAUGCUCAUUCCUGCUGUUGCACGCAGACCUUUACUAAACUCUACUUUUACAUCUGCAUCUUUACGUUCAAGUUCAACUAUUUCUACUGUUCCUCAAAGUUCUGGUCAAGCUUCUGCAAAGCCGUUGCCUGCUAAACGAAAACUGAAGCAGCAGUGUGAGGCUGCCAAAGACAAAGUGCCCCAUGAUGUCAGACAGCGGUAUGUCAACAUGUUCACAGAGGAGUUCCUCAAAACGACACCCAAUGUUAAUGAUGCCUUUGAAAAGGCUCUUGCUGAAGAGAAGACGGUGUACAAUCGGAGUGCGAACAAGCUCAAAUAUAUGAGUGUUGCAGUGAAUGCACUCAAGAGGCUGAAGAGUCAAAGCACUGUUGCUACUAAAGAUGAAAGCAAAGUCUACAGUCAAAAACUGAAAGGGAACAUACCUCUUAACUCAACAAAGUUUAAAGGAAACUCAGAUGACAUGGCAUUGUAUGAGAGUCUGAAGGAUUAUAUUUUGACUGAUGAAAAGCUAAUUGAGAGCAACUAUCCCGUUCAACACCCAGAGAAACGUGGUUCUGCUGUUGUUUUUGCUGACAGGAAAGUUAAUGCAGAUGCACUGAAGAGGAUCUGCUGUCGCUGUGGUGCUACAUACUCUGUGAGUCAAAGUGGCAAACACGUUCGCAAGGAGGAAUGCAACUACCAUUAUGGGAAAGGAGUUGAGAAUAGAGUGCCUGGUGGAGUAGAAACUCGCUACAGCUGCUGUCAGGGAGUCAUGGGAGCCCCUGGAUGUCAAGUGUUUAAGUUACAUGUCCAUGAUGCCCUCAGCCUGGAUGGGUUUGUGUCUACCGUCCCCCGGGGUCCCUCAGACAGGAGCUGUCCUGGUGUCUAUUCCUUGGAUUGUGAAAUGUGUUACACCAUUCAUGGUUUGGAGUUAUCCAGAGUGACAGUGGUCAACUCGAGUCUGGAAGUUGUAUACGACACCUUUGUUAAACCUGAAAAUGAGGUCAUUGACUAUAACACCAGAUUUUCAGGUGUUAGUGAGGAGGAUAUGAAGGAUCACCAUGCUUCUCUAAGAGAUGUCCAGGAGACCUUGUUGAGCUUCAUAAAUGCUGACACCAUUCUGAUUGGACACUGCCUGGAAACAGACCUCUGUUUACUCAAGCUGCUCCACGGGAUGGUGGUGGAUACAUCGGUAGUCUUUCCCCACCGUCUGGGCCCCCUCACAAACUGACCCUGAACAAGCUCACAGCUGAAUACCUCAGAAGGAUCAUUCAAGAGAGUGUUUGUGGUCAUGACACUGCAGAAGAUGCUACUGCCUGUAUGGAGCUGAUGCUGUGGAAAGUGAAAGAAGAUGGAAAAUUGAAAAAAUGAUGAAAAUAAAAUUAUUCCUGUACAAUUCAUAUGGGGGAGGGGGAACAAAUACUAGCUGUGAUUCAAAUGUAUUUGUGUAAACCUCUUUCAGGACAUGGAGGGCAGUUUGGUUUGUUAAUGUGAUUUAUGUUAAUGAGUUCUGUAUGUAAAAGUUCAAUUUGGAGCCCAUCUUCCAUAUUUGUAUAAA